GACACGGUCCAAACUCCUACGGGAGGCAGCAGUGAGGAAUAUUGGUCAAUGGGCGAGAGCCUGAACCAGCCAAGUAGCGUGAAGGAUGACUGCCCUAUGGGUUGUAAACUUCUUUUAUAAAGGAAUAAAGUCGGGUAUGCAUACCCGUUUGCAUGUACUUUAUGAAUAAGGAUCGGCUAACUCCGUGCCAGCAGCCGCGGUAAUACGGAGGAUCCGAGCGUUAUCCGGAUUUAUUGGGUUUAAAGGGAGCGUAGAUGGAUGUUUAAGUCAGUUGUGAAAGUUUGCGGCUCAACCGUAAAAUUGCAGUUGAUACUGGAUGUCUUGAGUGCAGUUGAGGCAGGCGGAAUUCGUGGUGUAGCGGUGAAAUGCUUAGAUAUCACGAAGAACUCCGAUUGCGAAGGCAGCUCACUGGACUGCAACUGACACUGAUGCUCGAAAGUGUGGGUAUCAAACAGGAUUAGAUACCCUGGUAGUCCACACAGUAAACGAUGAAUACUCGCUGUUUGCGAUAUACAGUAAGCGGCCAAGCGAAAGCGUUAAGUAUUCCACCUGGGGAGUACGCCGGCAACGGUGAAACUCAAAGGAAUUGACGGGGGCCCGCACAAGCGGAGGAACAUGUGGUUUAAUUCGAUGAUACGCGAGGAACCUUACCCGGGCUUGAAUUGCAGAGGAAGGAUUUGGAGACAAUGACGCCCUUCGGGGCCUCUGUGAAGGUGCUGCAUGGUUGUCGUCAGCUCGUGCCGUGAGGUGUCGGCUUAAGUGCCAUAACGAGCGCAACCCCUCUCCUUAGUUGCCAUCAGGUUAAGCUGGGCACUCUGGGGACACUGCCACCGUAAGGUGUGAGGAAGGUGGGGAUGACGUCAAAUCAGCACGGCCCUUACGUCCGGGGCUACACACGUGUUACAAUGGGGGGUACAGAGGGCCGCUACCACGCGAGUGGAUGCCAAUCCCUAAAACCCCUCUCAGUUCGGACUGGAGUCUGCAACCCGACUCCACGAAGCUGGAUUCGCUAGUAAUCGCGCAUCAGCCACGGCGCGGUGAAUACGUUCCCGGGCCUUGUACACACCGCCCGUCAAGCCAUGGGAGCCGGGGGUACCUGAAGUGCGUAACCGCGAGGAUCGCCCUAGGGUAAAACUGGUGACUGGGGCUAAGUCGUAACAAGGUAGCCGUACCGGAAGGUGCGGCUG
rnacentral:rRNA from 1 species